ACAGAAAGGAAUGCAAUUGUCAGAUGUUCUAAAAACGCAUGGAAGUGUAUAUAAUUAUAAUAACUAUAAUUAUUCUUUAUUAUUUUUUAGAAACAAUGCUACAGGAUAACAAGCUUUUAAGAGAUUAACUCCGAAUUUGCAUGGAAGCAGUAGUCGAUAUGAAAGUGGUUGUAAAUAAGUGGAAUCGCCACAUUGCUGAGGAAACUGUUUUAACAGCAAAAUUUCCAUUGUCAAGUGUGGAGGAGGUAGAAUGUCUAAAUGCAGAAAUAAAUAACGACAAUCGCGAAUGUUAUGUAAAGACUAUGAAAUCCCUUUUUAGACCGGCAGGGGUGGUUAAAAAUCUUAAAGAGAUAUUGACGGACGCUGUUGUCCAAGAAUAUAAUAUUGACGGAAUUCAUGGAAAAAAAUCUUUAAGAAGUCUGGAGAAUUUU